CCGGCGUCCUCCGGGCAGGACCCUUGUCCCCCCAGGUCGCGGCUUCUCUUCCUGCCAAUUAGACCCUUUUGGUAUUCUGAUGCUUUUCCCGCAGCAGACAUGCUGAAGACUGGCAGAAAGUCAGGGAGACAGAUCCUGAACGCAGGCGCUAAAAAAGAAGAAACAUUGCUAAUUGUUGAAAGUGUGGAGAGACGUGGGGCGGAGCUGUUCCAGGCAGAGGGGAGACCUUGGAUAAGUCCCUGGAUCUGGGAGAGCAGACCAUCUGAACAUCCUGCCUACAGUAACUCCCAGGAGAGUGGUGUGAGCUGGAGACAAUAUCCUUUAAAUUAUCCCCCACAAUGCAGCAGAGAACAAAGAAGAGAACACGAGCAGUUACACAUCUGGGAGUCACAUCGCAGCCUUG